GUAGCUUCUUAAAAGAUGAGGAUAAGAAAUAAUCUUAUCUUAUUUUUUUUUCUUAACUAAGGAUAAAAUUGAGAUAUUUCUUAAGUGGUAUUCCGAGGAAAAUCUUAAGUUAAUCUUUAUUAAGAUUUGCCUUAAAUCUAUUUUUAACCUCAAGCGGAACGAAUGCUAAUUUGCAUAAAUUUUCGGUUUUUACCGUUCUAAAUAAAGUAACGGAAGUUUCAUCUGCGCAUGGGCGAACAUUUGUUGCCAGACGAUAAUGUCAACAAAGAUGGCUGAAAUAGAAAGCAAGAAGAAGCGGUCGGAAAACUUCUGCUUGUUGCUGGCUCAAAUUAUAAAUGAGCCGGUUAAAGAAGGGUCUAUUUUGACCCGUUAUGCUUAUCUAAAAAGCAGAUUCAAUCCAUCAAUUACUUCUGCAUCAAAGAAGAUUAUGUGGGAGACUGUCUCUUCCAUUUUCAAUGUGAGGGCAGAGUAACCGAGGGAAUGUAUAGUCCUGCAGAAAAAGUGGGACAAUCUGGUACAGACCCACAGGGCCAAAUAUCAAGACCAUCUGUUGGCACAAAACAGAACAGGUGGGGGAGCUGUCAACACUGUCCUAGGGCCUGUAACAGAGGCAAUCAUGGACGUUGUGGGCAGAGGUUCAUCCAACAUUGUUGGAAUUGGCGAACACACAUUGGACAGCGGGUUCCUUCAACUGGAUGCAUUUGAUGCAUUUGGCGAUAGUCCUGGGGCGUCACAAGGAACACAAACAGC